rnacentral:ncRNA from 1 species
UACAUAAGAAUGAGUCCGGGUGAAGCCGCAAGCAGCGGUUUCUUAAAAGGGAAGCUGGUGAAAAUCCAGCGCGGUCCCGCCACUGUAAAUGGGAGCAGCAGGCACGCUGCCACUGUGCAAAUGCAUGGGAAGGCGCCUGUUGUGAAGAACAUGAGCCAGGAGACCUGCCCGGAUCGAAGCACCGUA